UACGUAGGGGGGCAAGCGUUUGUCCGGAUUUAUUGGGCGUAAAGAGCGUGUAGGCGGCUCGGUAAGUCCGCUGUGAAAGUCCAGGGCUCAACCCUGGAAUGCCGGUGGAAACUGUCGAGCUAGAGUCCGGAAGAGGCGAGUGGAAUUCCUGGUGUAGCGGUGAAAUGCGCAGAUAUCAGGAGGAACACCAAUGGCGAAGGCAGCUCGCUGGGACGGUACUGACGCUGAGACGCGAAAGCGUGGGGAGCAAACAGG
rnacentral:rRNA from 1 species